rnacentral:rRNA from 1 species
AUUGAACGCUGGCGGCAGGCCUAACACAUGCAAGUCGAACGGUAACAGGAAGAAGCUUGCUUCUUUGCUGACGAGUGGCGGACGGGUGAGUAAUGUCUGGGAAACUGCCUGAUGGAGGGGGAUAACUACUGGAAACGGUAGCUAAUACCGCAUAACGUCGCAAGACCAAAGAGGGGGACCUUCGGGCCUCUUGCCAUCGGAUGUGCCCAGAUGGGAUUAGCUUGUUGGUGGGGUAACGGCUCACCAAGGCGACGAUCCCUAGCUGGUCUGAGAGGAUGACCAGCCACACUGGAACUGAGACACGGUCCAGACUCCUACGGGAGGCAGCAGUGGGGAAUAUUGCACAAUGGGCGCAAGCCUGAUGCAGCCAUGCCGCGUGUAUGAAGAAGGCCUUCGGGUUGUAAAGUACUUUCAGCGGGGAGGAAGGGAGUAAAGUUAAUACCUUUGCUCAUUGACGUUACCCGCAGAAGAAGCACCGGCUAACUCCG